CCUACGGCGGGCAGCAGUGGGGAAUAUUGGACAAUGGGCGAAAGCCUGAUCCAGCCAUGCCGCGUGUGUGAAGAAGGCCUUCGGGUGGUAAAGCACUUUCAGUGGGGAAGAAAGCCUUGGGGCUAAUACCCUCGAGGAAGGACAUCACCCACAGAAGAAGCACCGGCUAACUCCGUGCUAGCAGCCGCGGUAAUACGGAGGGUGCGAGCGUUAAUCGGAAUUACUGGGCGUAAAGCGCGCGUAGGCGGUCUGAUAAGCCGGUUGUGAAAGCCCCGGGCUCAACCUGGGAACGGCAUCCGGAACUGUCAGGCUAGAGUGCAGGAGAGGAAGGUAGAAUUCCCGGUGUAGCGGUGAAAUGCGUAGAGAUCGGGAGGAAUACCAGUGGCGAAGGCGGCCUUCUGGACUGACACUGACGCUGAGGUGCGAAAGCGUGGGUAGCAAACAGGAUUAGAUACCCCAGUAGUC
rnacentral:rRNA from 1 species